AAAGGAAUAGACGGGGGCCCGCACAAGCAGCGGAGCAUGUGGUUUAAUUCGAAGCAACGCGAAGAACCUUACCAGGUCUUGACAUCCAGGUAAAGCUUGAGAGAUCAGGUGUGCCUUCGGGCGAUCUGAGACAGGUGGUGCAUGGUUGUCGUCAGCUCGUGUCGUGAGAUGUUGGGUUAAGUCCCGCAACGAGCGCAACCCUUGCUGAUAGUUACUAACACGUAGAGGUGAGGACUCUAUCGGGACCGCCGGGGACAACUCGGAGGAAGGUGGGGACGACGUCAAAUCAUCAUGCCCCUUAUGACCUGGGCUACACACGUGCUACAAUGGCCGAGACAGAGAGGAGCGAAGGCGCAAGCCGGAGCGGAUCUCAAAAAGGCGGCCACAGUUCGGAUUGUGGGCUGCAACCCGCCCACAUGAAGCCGGAGUUGCUAGUAAUCGCGAAUCAGCAUGUCGCGGUGAAUACGUUCCCGGGCCUUGUACACACCGCCCGU
rnacentral:rRNA from 1 species